AGUUUUUAGUUUUUAGUUUUAUUUUAUUUUUAUUGGUACAUCGAACCAGCCUACAGCAUUGCUGGCACCUUUCCACCAGGUGCCUGGGGCUCAGAGGAAAAUGCAAAUGAAUCUUAAAAUUAUGAGACAAUUUCCCUCCCUUUCUCCCAAAUAAAAUAAUUAUAAGAGAAAGAAUUGGUAAGAACGGAUGAAGAAGGGAUUGAAGAUGGAAACAGAAAAGCAGCUUCACCCCACCAGAGCAGGGGGAACCCAGAAAGGCCUUGCACAGGCAGGAAGUUGUCCAAGCAGCUGGAAGAUGGUUUGCGUACCAGCCUAUGAGCUGUGGUUACCACCCACAGCAAGGGACUUGACCCCUUGGUCCAAAACAUCCCUCCUAAGCCUCUUUCCAUAAAACAGUUUGUCCUUCUAUACACCAAAAGAAUCUCAAAGUACAUUGCACACAUUAAACUGUCAUGCUUCACACCACACUUGUAGGCAUAGCUCUAUAUUCCCAUUCUACAUAGAAUGAACUGGUUCGUUCCAGGUGUCACACUUGGAGCUGGGGGCAUGCACUUGGUUAGGACACCCAGUGCAUCCCCACCAGCACUGCUCUGCUCACUGAGGUCCCAAAUGAGAUGGGGCUGUUAGGAGCUGUGAGGCUGUUACACGCAGACAUGAGAGGCUGUUCUGCAAGAUUCAGGAAAUACCCGUUCUGGAUGUUGUUUUAAAUCUGAGUAUACAGUCUCAGGAAACAUACCUAGAACUGGAGGUUUUAGGUUUUGGAUUCCCUGUGUUUGACUGCUAUAAUUGCUUGACUAAACUCCAGUAAGCCUCCAUAAGCAGCCUCCGUUACUCUUAGAGGAAUCUAGCUGAACUGACCGUGGGAUUUCCUGCUCACCUGACUUACAAAUCCAUCACUUUCCUUCUGAAUAAAUGAACGGCACUGGCUGGUACUCACGCCUUAGAUGUAGACCUUAGAAAAACCUAGACUCAAAUCUACUUGCUUUUCUUAUGCAAAUCUUCUCACAAGAUUAGAAGGGAAAGCAAACAGCAGCUCCAGCCUUAAGAUCUUUUUUUUUCUUUAAGAGGCAGCCUGUUGUAUAAAUCUGAAACAGAAACCGUUUCCAUUUGAAGAUCAAAUAGAAGUUAUCUACUGAAGCUGACAAACAGGGGCAGAAUAAUCUGUUUGCAUUUUUGGGAAAUGGAUAGCUCUGGUUUUGUUUCAAGACAAGUAACUUUUAAACAAUAUUUAACGAAAUAAUUGACCUUGAUGUUUAAACUACAACUUCCUUCACGUCAUUAAGCCCACUGUUUUUUUGUUUUUUUGUUUUUUUGUUUUUUUUAAUGUUUAGUAUUUGAACUCUGGCAUUCAUUCUGCUAAUCCCAUAAUAACAUUUGUUUCUAGUGGAAUUUUAUUUAAUGAACUCAUCGGUAAAAGAGGAGAGAAAGAGUUCAGAACAACACGAGCUUUACAGCUCAUUUAUAUUUUCUCCCCUCUGAAAAAUAGCAAAAAGACAUGUGCAAAAUGACUUUUCAGGAAUAACUCUGCAGAUGGAAAGAACAAGGAAAAGUUUUAUACAGCUUUAUAUAGAGCUUUAGGAAAAACUGUGCUCUUUUAACAUACAUUCUGACUUUCAGAAUGCACUGCAAUCCUUGACUGCAAAUAAUGAUUUGGGGAAUUUGUCUUCAUGAUAAUUAGGAUCUGAGUCUGCUUUUGAAAUGUAGGAAAAAUGGAAAUAACUCCAUAAAGUGUAUCUAUCACAUAAAGCUUUUGGGACAGCCUGAUUCACAGUGUAUCCUGCUCUUUGUUCAGCUGACAGAUUUCCAGCAGCCAAAAGAGGCACAUAUCUGGGGGCUGCCAUUAUCUAAGCUAAAUAUGUACAUUUUGGAUCAGUUCUAUUUUAUCUGAAUACUCACAACUUCUGCUGGGGGAUCAUAAGCAUGAAAGGACGGCAGAGAUGUGCAUUUUAUUAGCUAUCCAUCAGUCUUUGUGCACGAACAAAGGUACAUAAACAUACACAUUUGCUGAGCUCUCAGCUCAGCAAGACUUUAGACAGUACAUGCAGUAAGAUUUCAAAUAAAAACAAACAAGCAAUCAAACAACAAACACACUGCCAUGCAAAAAGUAAGCACGUAAUUUGGGGGAGAGGGAAGCACUAAAGCAAUAAAUGAACACGUUGAAUUAAGCCUAAUUUUUAUUUGACUGUUAAUGAAAAAUAUUGUGGCAGCAGAGGGAUCCUGGAAUUACAGAACACUGAUAUCUACCUAAAUGCUGAUGUGUACCCUUGCACGUAAUGUACUCAUACACAGAUAAAAGCUCUUCCUUUAUCCCUGCUGGCACAAAUUUCAUCCUUUCAAUAUGUGGACAUAUGAGGAAUCAGGUUGCUUUACUCUCAACAAAGGGCACCGAUCUACCAUUUGAAGCACUUAAAAAUAUUUGAAUUCCCUCCCCAGUGCACAAACAGCCAACUCAAUAUCUAUUGCAGGCUCAGGAUCCAGAGAACACGAUGGUGUUACGCAACGGGAGGUGUGACGUUAUCUGGUGAUCUGAGCAGGGUCAUGCUGAUCACGGGACAAUGCAAAUUCCAUGUCAGGCAUCAUGCUGAUACAGGCUGUCUAUAGCUUCACCUGAAUGACAAGCAACGCAGGCAGGCUUGAAUUAAGUGGCAGUCAUUUCCCAUCUCAGCUCUUGCUCCCCUAUUGCAGAAUGGGUGCGUCAGUUCAUCCCUGAGCAGCCCUUCAGUCUCUUGCCCAUCCUCUUGAGCCCACACACUCAUCACCAGCUGACUGACUUACAAACCACCUGCAUCUGACACAAGAGCAUCACCCACACCAGGAGGUGUAGCUACUGAGAAGUAUCUCUCACCCUUAUUCUACAAUCUCGUGUUGUGACUGAACGCCAGCAAGUGAAGGGAGGAAGCAUUGACAUCGAUAUGGGAGUACGGUACAGCCUCCUCAUCCAUACUGGCAGCUCCCAUGCUCACAGAACAAUUAAUAUAUGUGCUUAUGCCACUACUGCUCUUCACUUUUACAGGGAACUCAAGCAUGGUACCUGGGAUGGCAAUUCCUGAUCAAAGACACUACAACAGAGAACAAAUUGUCCUUCACACACAGUUACUCAUAGAGACUGAUGGUCUCAUAUUUUUCUUUUUUGCUUCGAAAUCAUGAAUUAUAAAGGAAAACACAACACAGCGUCUCUUUUCAGUGAACUGAGUACUGCCCCCACUAUAAGUUAGACCAAACCCACGACCACUACAUUUUGUGAUAUGCAGCCAACACGCAGCUGCCACGUCUUUUCCUGACAGUUGAACACAGCCUGCAACAUUCUGUCGGUGACAGGAGAUGGCAUUUCAGACAUACUGGGUAAACAUGCCUGUGCCAUCUUCUGCUACGCUGACAGUGAUUUGUGAGGAACCCACCCAGCACAUUGCCUCAGCCAGGGACUAAGCUGUGUCUCCUUGGCACAGGCUUUAAGCAAGGAGCUGUGCAAAACCAGGCUUUGUUGUGGAAAUGAAUACACCACUCUUCCCCGUUCCCCUGAUGAUUCUCUUAUCCCCGAGGACGAUUUACCUUGUGACUGUUCUGCUCCUUGGGAAAUUCUUCCCAGUACUCUUACCAACAUCCCCUUACAGAUCAGGGAGCCAGCAACAGUGACUAUGUCGUAAAUUUCAUCAGUCUCCAGCUGUCUUGUUUUAGGAUCUUCUGUACUAAAAGCCUUUUCCUAUCAGAUACAUGGAUUCUUUGUAAUCUCUGCUGAACGGAGCUGCUAUGGAGCAUUUCUGUAUGUUGCAAAAAAAAAAAAAAAAACAAAACAUGGAAUAUUUCCCUCUAUAUACCAGUAUCAAAUUCAGUGGUUCAUGUGGAGAUGUAGCUGUAGAGGUCCCUGUUUACUGCAGAGAAGUUGGACUAGAUGAGCUUUAAAGGUCUCCUCCAACUCCAGCAAUUCUAUGAUGAUAACUCUAUGAUGAUUCUAUGAGAUCGUGAAAGUCAGCUUGUAAAGAUCUUCAGGGUCCGCCUAUAGGGAAUAUGUUAAGCGUGUGCCUCUGCUUACUUCUGUUUCCCAGGGUUAAACAAUAUCUAUCUGGAUGCAUUCCCUUACUCUUUCCUCCAGACAUACCUCUGGCUCCGUAGCAGUGCCCUGGGGAAGCUGAGACCAUUCUGCAAGUGCUGAUGGUGUGAAUACACAUAGGAUUAAGGCUGCUAGCCGCUACGGCACGUCACUUCUGCCUGCAGCUUACUAAAGCAAAAAAGUCUUGUGGCUGACAUGUCCUCCACUUCACUGGGUUACAUGACACAUGCCAGAGAAUGUGUCAACCCGCUCCCCAUCUCCUCAGCAUUAUUAGCCCAGGGAAGGAAAUGCAGCCAAAGAACUCACAUGCAACUUUGACAGGUUCUGCCUAAUCCACCCACAUAAUGACCUUUCUUAUGCUAAGUGCCAGAGCGGUGCAAGGAGACCACUGCCUGUAUCAGCUGCUGGCAAGUCAAAGUUAGUUUCAUGGUUAUGCUUAAGAGAGAGCCUGACGUUACGUUAAGAAGUCUUUGUCUCCCGCAGUGCAGCACUCAGAGAAUGACAUCAAAAACCUUCCUAAUUCACACACCCGGGUCAUUUGAUUGUAGGCAAGGCACAGAGCCAUGCUGCCCCAGCAGCCUGUGAGCCACAGUGACAUCUAUGACUAUCCUCUUAUUCCAUGGAAGGAAGUAAUGUGCUCGGAGCGUAACACAACCAACAGUAGAUUACAUCCUUCCUCAUGUCAGCUUAGCCCUGCUGGCUGCUGGGGGAGGCACUGGCAAGGCAAACACAGCCUCCCACUUCCCAGUUUGACUCAUCCCCACCCCAUCCUCAGGGAGCUGGGUCUCCCCAAGCUGGGACAUGCCAUGUGGGCAACCACACGAGAAGGUUCUGUUCCACCAGACAAGGAAGAGGACAUUCCCACUCUUCUCCAGUGUGGCAGAUACGCCACAUGCUGAAACAUCAGACUCUCCUCCAACAGGACAAGCGUAACUGAUCAUGGAGAUGUAUCUUCUCCUCCUUUGGCAUGUGUCUGUGCAAUUAGUCUAUCUGUUUUUAAUUUAUUUAUUUUCAGGCUGCCUUCUGCACCCUUUCUCAGGUACAUGGGGCACACCACAGAAUUGCCCUUGAACUAUACAGAAAUAAAAUCAGAAACAGACUAACCACAUAAAUCAAUACCAAGGGACACAAAACACAUGAUUGGAUGCUGCAGUUCGCUCAGAGAUCCAUCUGUCUUCAGAUGUGAUAUAACAGCGGUCAUGUACCACAUUUGCAAAGGAGGCAACACAUCCCUCCUCCAUAACCUGCCUUGUAGGGUGAAACUCUGAUAGCUCAGAGAAGUCAAGGCAUUUCUAAAAAUCAUUUCAAAACAAGAUACAGAAGUCUGGUCUGUAUUCACAAAGUUAAAGCAAUAGCUUCCUAUUCUGACGUGGAUUCUACUGGAUUUCUGGAAUUUAGGCUUGAAUUUGACAGAAGUUCAGAUGCAAAGGCACACGCAGAACCACUUGUGAGAAUCAGCGUGUCUGUGGGCAUAGGCCAGUCCUUUCCUGAGCAAAUCCCUGCCACCAAGAGCUGCUAGUAAAGGAGUGACACAGAUGGCAGUCAGACCUUGCUGUGUAGGCUCAUACCUCCAAGGCAAGAAUACAAUUCACCAUUCUUCCUGCAAACAGACAGUACUGCAUAAUGAACCAUACCUCCUAGUGCCAUUAAAAUGCAUGUAUUAUAUUCUGUAACUGUUUCUUGUUUGAGUCCCAGAAGCAGUGCUGUUGCUUGGGAGGGAGUAUCAAGACAUUAAUCAAAAAUAGAUGUGCAGUACAAGAAAUGAGGGCCAAGCAGAUGAAUAUAUAUAGCUUCCCACAUACUCAGAAUGUAGGAGCUGACUGCAAACACUGUGAUUAGAGUCAAUGUGCUUGAUACAGCACCACAGACACUGUACACAGCUGUCAAUCCUAUACUGAACAUCUUAUUUUAUAACCUGUGGUUCUGCAGCCCCUCAUUGGGUGAAUGAUGCAAAGAUGCUGUUCAUGUGGUGGAACAGACAAUGGAGAAAUCCUCCAGACAGAACCCUCUACUUGUUUCUGGUUAGGAAGAAUAAAUUUUUCCUUCUUUUAGCAUCAACAGAAAUACAGAUGCAAAAGCAAGACCUGGAUAAAUGAGACAAGUACUGUUUCUUCAAGCAGAAUGUCCUGACUUCAAGACAGAUUUAAUCCCUAACGGCUCAAUGGGACCCUGUCUACACUAGGGAUAUUUACUGAGGAUUUCCAAUUGACUGUUGCAAGAACUUUCUCCAGCUCCACCAAUAUGGCACAGCACAAAACUCCCACUCAACGCUUUGAAUCCUUUAGUCUAUUGCUAGUUCUUCCAGUCUUACUAACAUCAGUGAAACAGAGCCAGUGGUGAGGCAUUUCUAGAAAGUUUCCUUUACACAAAGAUAGUUUUCAUCUCUUUGACCAAGUCCGUAGUGGGCUGCCUUGAACAAUCCCCUUCUCACUGUUCACUAGCUAGUCUCUUAAAAGCUCCUCUGUCCUGCAGUGAGCUGCUCUCUCUUUGCAUUCAUUGACACUGUAUGAGUAGUUACACAGCACUAUGAGCACAUACAACUUCCUUUCAAUUCUUGUCUCUUCAGGAAUGGAAAUUCUUGUCACAUCCUCGCACAGGUCAUGCAACCUUACUACCAUUCUGCUGACAAUAGCUAUUCUUGGAAAUAAAUGAAUUUCUGGAAUCCCCAAAACCAAACAGUUUUGGCUCCAUGAACAGGAAUGGCAAACUCAAACUGCAAACCCAUUUGAAUAAGCAGAGUCGUUUAAUUAAAUCAUUUUUCUAUUACACUGAUAAGCAAUCAAAUAUGAUUGUUGUCAGUAGAUGUAACAGUUUCUAUUCUUGUUCCUCCAUAGCACCUUAAUUAAAUUACAAUUGUUCUGUCGGAAAACACAUCUGUGAGAACCUUCAAGUAGAAAACAUCAAAAAAUAUUCCUAAUAAAACAGAAAUCAAUUAAUAGUGCAAUAUUUCUUGGUAGACAGAACAAAAAAUAGUUGGAUUAAGGGUGCGGUAGAGAAGAUUAAGGUUUGACAUAUGGAAUGUCUUACAGAGAGGCACUAAAAAAUAUUGACUGGGAAAGGAACGGAGUCUACAGUACUGAUUAUCUUCUAGUACAACUGAAAUGCACUGCCUCAGAAGUGAUACAGACAUAACUGAUUCUACCUUGAUCCAAACCAAAGACUGAAGAUCUGUUGAGAAGUCUUUCAGUUCUGUUUCCCUAUGGCACUACUUUGUUGAAAAUUUCUAAAGAAUGAAGUAAAGUCCUGUUCUCAUUUACAUGCAUUUGAGCCUCUUAUAUUCCAUAAAGGUUUCAUAUUUACAAGUGAGAUCAGAAUUUGGCUCUUUAUAAUAACACACUGUAAAGAGCCAGAAAUUUCUCUAGAACAACAGAAAAGCAAGUUCUGUGUUGUAUACGUCUCACCCCUUAACCAAUACAUAUCAUAGAUGGCAAAAUAAUCACUGUUUUUUAUGGCAAGAUCUUGUUCAAGCAUGUGUCUGCGUAAAACUCCCUCAUAUAUCUAAGUAGAGUAACAUGUCUGCAUAUCCUCCACUUAGAGCAGAGGUGGCUCUGGAGGUCCAAACAAAAUCAAAUACUACCUGCAAAUAUAUAGUGCACAACCAGGCACUGGUUGGAGUCCAGGCAAACACAAACUUACAAGAGACAAUGUGACUGCAUGGCUCUCUGGCAGUUUGGUAUGUUCUCUCUUCUUUAUUACAAUGCUCUAGAGAGUAAUUAAAUUUCUUAGCUCAGCAUUUCCUUUUCUUCCUUACCUUGAAAGAUUCGCACAAAUUUUUAUAACCAGAUUAAAAAUUUGCCAACUGGCUUUUUGAACAAUGCUCAGUGCUUUCAGAAUAGUCAUUCAUAGAAUCUUACAUAAGAUUCCAUUUCAGGGAACUGACUUCCAAGAAAGUAAAGCUUUACCUUCUCUGUUCAGAAGCAGAAAGGUACUGAUUAAAACAUGUUAGGAUACAAAAUCUCCUUUGUAUGACACUAGCAAAUUCUGCAGUAAGACUCAAAGCCUGUUUAGGUCAGUUAGAGGCUUGCCAUUAACAAAGUGAGUUUUGGGACAGGUCCUUAAAGGACAGGAAAGCCGCCAUACAUACCACAGUUCUUAGGGAAAUCACUGAGGUCAGCAGAGGUUUAUUGUCUUCAGCAGGUCACUGAGGUCAGCAGAUGCUCAGAGGAACACAAAAUUUGCGCUGAUCCAAAGCUAUCAGAGAAACGAGUAAGAUGAUGGGAAGACUCUGAAAAGAGCAUGUUUUGCCCACAUGUCAUUCACCUGCUGGCUGCCAGUGCUGCAGCAACUGGAAAAGCCAACCAGGCAUCCCGACUGAGCCGUGCUGUGCUUUACAAGUGACUAAAGAGGUCAGCACUCCCACAUCCUGUAGAAACGGUUGCAUGAUGUGGUUACUACUUUUAAAAUAAAUUUAAGAUUCCAUCCCCUAAUUCACACAGAAACUAACAAAAAUAGGGUUUUUUUGUGUUUUUUUUUCUUCUUUUUUUUAAAUGAUGUGCAAAUCAGUUUUAGAAAAUAAAUUAAGCAAAUAUUUCCCUUGGCAAGGAAAUAUAAAAUAGCUCAUUCUCUUAACAUGCAAGUUUUAUGUUUACAAAGCAUACAGCAUCCCACAUUUCCAUAAUGUGUUAGUAGCAGGAAACAUUUUUAGCUCUGAUGCCUUAAACAAAGCUGGAGUUAGCGUCUGCAGCACCCUUAAGCUAUAUGUCACAGUCUUCACAAUACUGAAACAAAACACAGAGCAGUAACCACAUUAAGGUUUAGCGUUUAGAAACACAGAAGGUUUAACACUUGGCAAGCCAGAAUUCCCCUGUGACCUAAAGACAUAGAGAUCGUGACCUGAGAAUUAAGUGUUGUGUUAAGCGGCCAAGCUGUCUCCCUAAGGAAAAGACAAAAAUAGCAAAAGACAAGCUGAGCCAUGGGGCUGGCAUAUGUCAGGUGAGCCCAGGCCCAACUCAUAGAAGAUCUGUGGCCUCAUGGGGACAACCCUGACCUAGCCCAGCUUUUCCAGGCAGGGUUUCCUAAGUAGGAGGAUUUUCAGAGGUGCUCAACACUCGUUGUCCCCCACUGCCCUCUGAGGGAAUGGGAGCUUUAAGCUAACAUGCUGCCAGGACACCAGAAGAAAAAAAUUUCACUUUUCUCCAACUGGAAUUAGAAAGAUUCCAGCAUUAGAUGGAGGAAAA